UGGCCAGAUAGCUCAGUCGGUAGAGCACACGCCUGAAAAGUGUGGGGUCGCCAGUUCGAUCCUGGCUCUGGCCACAAU
rnacentral:tRNA from 1 species